rnacentral:rRNA from 1 species
AACGAACGCUGGCGGCAGGCUUAACACAUGCAAGUCGAACGCAUCCUUCGGGGUGAGUGGCAGACGGGUGAGUAACGCGUGGGAACGUGCCCUUCAGUUCGGGAUAACCCAGGGAAACUUGGGCUAAUACCGGAUACGUGCGAGAGCAGAAAGAUUUAUCGCUGAAGGAUCGGCCCGCGUCUGAUUAGCUAGUUGGUGGGGUAAUGGCCCACCAAGGCGACGAUCAGUGGCUGGUCUGAGAGGAUGAUCAGCCACAUUGGGACUGAGACACGGCCCAAACUCCUACGGGAGGCAGCAGUGGGGAAUAUUGGACAAUGGGCGCAAGCCUGAUCCAACCAUGCCGCGUGAGUGAUGAAGGCCUUAGGGUUGUAAAGCUCUUUCGUCCGGGACGAUAAUGACGGUACCGGAAGAAGAAGCCCCGGCUAACUUCGUGCCAGCAGCCGCAGUAA